GCAGGAUAAGCCCACGUAACCAGAGAUUAUCCAGUUCUCAUUUGGAAAACACACUCUGCAUUUAUUAUCUCAUAUAUGCCAAGAAAAGAAGGGAAAAAAAAGAAAGCUAAGAAGGCACUGGUUUUCAUCCAAGAAUACAAAAAAAGAGUACUGAAGACUUAGGUACCUAAGAGUGGAAGAAAAUCAAAGCCAAGGCUUGCCAAAAGUCACAAAAUAAUUCAGAUAUGAAUUGUGGAAUCACCACAGAGAUCUCCAAGAUAAGAAAUGCAGUUCUGACUGGCAGCUAUUCUUAAGGUAAAAAUUUGGUAAAACUGCAAAACACUUGUGAAAAGUG
rnacentral:lncRNA from 1 species